AACGAACGCUGGCGGCAUGCCUAACACAUGCAAGUCGAACGAGACCUUCGGGUCUAGUGGCGCACGGGUGCGUAACGCGUGGGAAUCUGCCCUUGGGUUCGGAAUAACAGUUGGAAACGACUGCUAAUACCGGAUGAUGACGUAAGUCCAAAGAUUUAUCGCCCAGGGAUGAGCCCGCGUAGGAUUAGCUAGUUGGUGGGGUAAAGGCCUACCAAGGCGACGAUCCUGAGCUGGUCUGAGAGGAUGAUCAGCCACACUGGGACUGAGACACGGCCCAGACUCCUACGGGAGGCAGCAGUGGGGAAUAUUGGACAAUGGGCGAAAGCCUGAUCCAGCAAUGCCGCGGGAGUGAUGAAGGCCUUAGGGUUGUAAAGCUCUUUUACCCGGGAGGAUAAUGACAGUACCGGAAGAAUAAGCCCCGGCUAACUCCGUG
rnacentral:rRNA from 1 species